rnacentral:rRNA from 1 species
UACGGAGGAUGCGAGCGUUAUCCGGAUUUAUUGGGUUUAAAGGGUGCGCAGGCGGAAGAUUAAGUCGGUGGUGAAAUUUUGCAGCUCAACUGUAAAAGUGCCAUUGAUACUGGUUUUCUUGAGUGCGGAUGAAGUAGGCGGAAUUUGUGGUGUAGCGGUGAAAUGCAUAGAUAUCACGAGGAACUCCGAUUGCGCAGGCAGCUUACUAAACCACUACUGACGCUCAUGCACGAAGGCGUGGGGAUCAAACAGGAUUA